rnacentral:lncRNA from 1 species
CAAUCAUGCAAUUAGAAGAAUGGGACUGUCCUACCAUCUGAGCUAGAUAUUAAAAGUUUCAAAAAAUAUUAAAUGAAGACGUAGUCAUAAGACCUAUAACAUGUAACCCCAUUUAUUUUUUCUCUCUGUGCCCUUCUCCCACCAGACUGCUGAUAAGAAGGAACAGAUGGUAGCACCAUCCUGUCUCAGCACCAAACACUGUCUGGGAGAUGUAUGCAAUGUAAAAAGCAUCCCUGUGUGGAGAAGCAGAUAGUGCUCCUGCAAAGUCUCUUUAUCAGACAGAGAUGCGUUCGCUUUGUGAAUGGGAAACUGAAACAUGGAGAUAUUCUGACAGCUCCCAGGGAAGGAUGGAAACCCUCCUGUUCACAUCCUGGAGAUGACCCACUCAUCACAGCCCUGGGGAGAAGAUUCGUGUACCUGGUGCACAGGAGGCGCAGAGCAGGGCAGCUUGCAUCAUUCCCCUGCUGCUGGCAAGGGAGAUCAGAGUCCUCAGCCCGCUCCUCUGAAUGGUGUCAGAGUACCUGCAUAGAGCAAAUAACUGCAGCAGAAUCCGUGGCUACCAUUUGCAUAUAGCAAAGGAGGCUAUUUAGGAGGUGCCAGCCAGAAAGCUUCUUACUUCUCAGCUCUGUGAAGACUCAGACCUCGUGAGGCACCAAAUAGAAGUGGAUAAGAGUCUUUUGUCUGUGUAAGCCCAGUGGCCCCUUCGUACAGGUGAUUGAAGCAGUCAUGAAAAAGUGAGACUCUGCCCACAUUCCUUUGAAAUAAUAGCCGGUGUCUUAUUCAGCAUUUCCUGCAUUUGUCUAUAUGCCCUUGUUUCUUUACAUAGUGCAGCAUGCCUGCUUGAUUCAUAGGCCAUUUCAUUUGUUUCAUUUCCAGAAUGUGGGAUAAGCAGUGCACUUAGCUUUAGACACUAAGUCCUUUUCUUCUCCAUGUAAAAUCCCAUCUGCUCUCUUUGUGUGCUACUCCCCUGCCUUUGGCUGUGGUGGGAUGCUGGGGGACAGGGAGCGCAUCUGGGAGUGCAUUCCUUGUGCUUAUGUUCCAAACCAACAUGGCAUUAUCUUUCAACCUAAAACCACCUCUUUGAAUAACUACUUUUUUUUUUUUUUUUUUUUUAUAUGGCACAGCAAUGUGCCCCAGCUUAUAGCAAAAAUACACGUGCAGAGGGAACCGAAGUUGAGCCUGCAGUCACCAAACUUGCCUGCACAAACUCCUUGGAAACAACUGUACACGUUGCAUCAAAAGAUACACAUCUUUUGCUCUCUCCUCUUGAGCACUGAAAGGAUAUUAUUUUGAAAGUGACUACAUCGCAGCCAUUUCUCAGCUCCUUUGCAAACAGAAGAGAACUUUGCAUUAAGAAGGGUUUUUUUGUGUGUGUGUGUGUGUUUGUUUGUUUGUUUUCUGAAAUUAAAUGUUUUUAUCCUUUCUUUUUUGGGGGGGAGGGGAGAAGAGUCAUUUUUAUAAGUUUAGAAAUAAAGAGGCAAAAGUUCUGUUCUGUGGUUUUUUG